GUUAAAUCAUCCGUUCCCGUACGAUCACUGAAGUUAAGCAACGUCGAGCCUGAUUAGUACAUAGAUGAGUGACUGUUUGGGGAAUGGUGCUGUA